CCAGAUCUGGCUGUUUUAAAGCGGAGUGGCCCCCCUGUGAUCGCAGGGGCUGGGUGUAUAUAUAAGUGGACGGGGUUUUUCACGCCGCUGUGCUGAGUGGAGGGACUCAUACACACUCCGCAUUUCCACGCGUCCAGCCUGGAAACACACCAAGCUGCAAACUUCCAGCUCCCACAACCUGCUUUCCCUCAUCAGAGGAACUACCUACAAAUUCCCACAACUUCUCUCCCCUUAUUCACCCACUUCUGCCGCGGGCAAGAAACUUCCACCAGUUGCGGGACAUGCGGGGGUUCGAGGCUUUGUUAACGGUGCUUGCGGUCUUCUCGGUCGGGUUGUGGAGCUCCGAGGCCGGGGUGAGGAUGCAGAAAGCAGCAGCAGCGAGGAACAGCUCCGGUGAUUCCCGGGAGGAGAGCUCCAGAGCAGCGGGACACGCCACCUGCCCUGGCCGCUGUCGGUGCGAGGGGGACGGGCUGCUGCACCGGGUGGACUGCUCGGACCUGGGGCUCCGGGAGAUACCGAGCAACCUGAGCGUGUUCACAUCCUAUCUUGAUCUCAGCAUGAAUAAUCUGACUAUGAUGACCAGUGGAGCUUUGUCCAACCUGCACUUCUUAGAGGAACUACGUUUGGCAGGAAACGAUCUGUCCUUCAUCCCCAGAGGAGCGUUCAGCGGCCUCUACAACCUCAAAGUGCUUAUGCUACAGAACAACCAGCUGAGAUCAGUUCCUGCUGAAGCAUUCACCAACCUUCACAACCUGCAGUCUCUCCGGCUGGAUGCGAAUCACAUCUCCGGCGUUCCGCCUGGCUGUUUCUUCGGUCUGCGCUCGCUUCGCCACCUCUGGCUGGAUGACAACGCUCUGACAGAGGUGCCAGUGAAGGCUCUUGGAGAGCUGCCGACCCUGCAGGCAAUGACGCUCGCCCUCAACCACAUCGCCCACAUCCCUGACCACGCGUUCAGCAAGCUGGGCCGCCUGGUGGUGCUGCAUCUCAACAACAAUAGGAUCGUUUCCAUGGGCAACAACUGCUUCCACGGACUCCACAGUCUGGAGACGCUGGAUUUAAACUACAACAGCCUGGUUGAGUUUCCUACAGCCAUCCGCUCACUCAGCCACCUCAAAGAGCUAGGUUUUCACAGCAACAGCAUCCAGUCCAUCCCAGAGCGAGCCUUCACUGGGAACCCGUCUCUGAUCUCCCUAUUGUUUUAUGACAAUCCAAUUCAGUCUGUGGGUCGGUCGGCCUUCCAGAACCUUCCAGAGCUUCGGACGCUAUCUCUGAACGGUGCGGCAGAACUCGCAGAGUUUCCAGAUCUGUCGGGAACCAAGGGUCUGGAGAGCCUGACCAUCACUGGAGCUCGGAUCACGUCUCUUCCCAGUUCGAUGUGUGAGCAGCUUCCAAACCUUCAGCUGCUCGACCUCUCGUAUAACAAGAUCCAGACUCUUCCAAGCUUCACUGGCUGUGAAAGCAUCCAGAAGAUUGAUCUCCACCAUAACGAGAUAGAGGAGCUGAGGGAGAACACCUUCACCGGCCUGAUGACCCUUCGCUCGCUAGAUUUAUCCUGGAACCGGUUGUCAUCUGUGAAGCCAAACUCAUUCUUUGCUCUGACGUCUCUCUCCAAACUUGACCUGUCGUCCAAUCAGCUGUCCUCUCUGCCUCUUACUGGUCUGCAGAGUUUAACUCACAUUCGGCUGGUGGGAAACGAUCAGCUGAUGGAGUUAAUACCCCGAGAAGAUCUGCCACGAGUCAGGGUGAUGGAGCUUCCCUACGCCUUCCAGUGCUGUGCCUUCAUCUCCUGUGAGAAGAGAGGAGAAGGAGGAUUAUCCUGGGAAAGAGAAGAGGCAGCAGACUCCACAGCGAGAGACGCUCCUUUCCUUUCCAGUCAAGUGGACCAGGACUGGGACGAUUUUCUGAUGGAGUUUGAGGACGAACCAAAACCUCAACACUCUGUUCACUGCAGCCCAACUCCAGGUCCAUUCCGGCCGUGUCUCCGCCUUCUCGGCAGCUGGAUGAUUCGAGGCGGCGUCUGGCUCAUUGCUGCAACCUCAUUGGUCAGCAACGGUCUCGUCGUCCUGUCGGUCUUCUUCUCUCCAGCCAGCAUCGUCACGACCCCCAAGCUCCUGAUUGGCCUGCUGGCUCUGGUGAACGGCCUGAUGGGAGUGUGGAGCAGCUGGCUGGCGGCGGUGGAUGCCUGGACGUUUGGCAGCUUCUGGAGGUACGGGGUGAAGUGGGAGAGCAGCUUCCUGUGUCGCCUCAGUGGCUUCCUGUGCGUGUUUGCGUCUCAGACCGGACUCUUCCUGCUGACCGUCGCGGCUCUGGAGCGAUGUCUGUCUGCUGCAGGUGCAACACAGAGCAGCAAAGCUGGCAGGAGCAGCGGUGGUUCUUCGUCGCCGCUCUUCAUCCGUUUGUCGAUCUUCCUCUGCUUCCUGCUCGGCUUUGUCAUCACUCUGCCUCCACUGAUGGCCGGGCACAGCAGCUCCUCCUUCUGUUUGCCGCUGCCUUCGUCGUCCUCCUCUUCCUCCUCCCUGGCCUUCGCGGUCUCCUUGGUUCUCUUCGACUCGCUCUGCUUCCUCGUCAUGACGCUCGCCUACACUCGCCUCUACUGCCGCGCCAGCAAAGCUCCGCCAAACUCCGACGACGACGUGGCGUUGACUCGUCACGUCGCCUGGCUGCUCUUCUCCGACUGCCUGCUCUACCUCCCCGUCGCCUUCCUCUCCUUCUCCUCCCUCCUGCGACUCCCUGCCGCCGGGCCGGAGGCGGCGAAGGGAGUCCUGCUGCUCGUGACGCCACUUCCGGCUUGCGUAAACCCGCUUCUCUAUCUCCUCUUCAACCCGCUCGCCAGGGGAGAGCUGGCGGCGCUGGCGGCUCGCGCCUGCAGGGGUGCAGCGGCGUCGAAGUUACAGAGAAGGGGCGUGACCGGAGGACGGCCGCUGGAUUCAACGUACGACGAAGACGCGGAGAAGCAGUCGUGUGACUCGACUCAAGCGUUGGUGGUUGUGGAAGGUGUGAAGGAAGAGGAGGAGCAGAGGAGCAAGACGCAACAGUCGCUGUCGGCCGCCCAACGUCGCUAAACGGACAUAAAACUCACACGUUGUAGUGUUUGUGUCUCACCUGACAAAAGCUUGAAUAUCGAUCCCAAAGGUUCUGCUUCAUUCUAACAGAACCCUCAAAAUCUGCCUCAUUUUAACAGGGAGCUGUUGUUCAAAAUUCACAUUUACACUUCAAUUUGGGUUUGAACUGCUUCUAAAAGCAGGUAAAGCACUUAAAAAACAAUAAGUUAAUGUUUUUGGUGUAUGGAAAAUGAGUCAUUUCUAAAACCUCCCAAAUAUUAACUUACAUUCUACGAGCACUAUGCUGUCACCUAGCAACAAGUGGAAUUCUGCCUGUUACCUAGCAACCCAGGCAGAGCUCCAGCCUGGUCAGCUCGUUUUACCACUGUAUCCGCUGUACAAUGGCUGCUGGAAAAGGCAAGAGGUUUGUAGUUGACUUACUAACCAGAAACAACUUGGUGGGU